rnacentral:misc_RNA from 1 species
GACGAACCGUGCGAACGUUGUUCGGAAUCACUGGGCUUAAAGGGCGCGUAGGCGGCUUGCCGCGUCCGUGGUGAAAGCCCCCGGCUCAACCGGGGAAGUGCCGCGGAUACGGGCAGGCUUGAGUGGGGUAGGGGCAGACGGAACUUCCGGUGGAGCGGUGAAAUGCGUUGAUAUCGGAAGGAACGCCGGUGGCGAAAGCGGUCUGCUGGGCCCCUUCUGACGCUGAGGCGCGAAAGCCAGGGGAGCGAACGGG